rnacentral:tRNA from 1 species
GGGCUGUUAACUCAGUUGGUUUAGAGUGUUACCUUGACAGGGUAGAAGUCACAAGUUCGAGUCUUGUACAGCCCA